AUGCAGCCAUCCCUGUCCACCCUGUCCCUGCUGCAGGACAGUACCAGCCCAGGGCCCAAAUCUCUUGCUGAAGAGCUGAGAGAGAAAAUGGAAUAUCCAAAGCCUCUUAGCUUUCCCCAGUCCACUGAAAUGGCAUCACUUUUAAUCUUCUGGAACUCGCCCACCACUGCCCAAGUCACAAUUGAAGCUCAGCCAACCAAUAUUUCCGAGGGGAAUGAUGUUCUUCUACUUGUACACAAUUUACCCAAGAAUCCUGUUGCCUACAUCUGGUACAAAGGGCAAAUAAUGGACCUCCAACAUUACAUUACAGCAUAUACAAUAGACACUGAAAGAAUUAUAUUUGGGCCUGCAUACAGUGGACGAGAAAGAGUAUAUUCCAAUGCAUCCCUGCUGAUCCAGAGUGUGAACCAGAAGGACGCAGGAUCCUACACCGUAAAAAUCAUAAAGCGAGGUUACAGGACUGAAGGAGUAACUGGACAUUUCACCUUAUAUGUGGAGACUCCCAAGCCCUCCAUCAGCAGCAGCAACUUAAACCCCAGGGAGGGCAUGGAGACUGUGACCUUAUCCUGUGAUCCUGACACUCCGAACGCAAGCUACCUGUGGUGGAUAAAUGGUCAGAUCCUCCCUAUCAGUCCCAGGUUGCAGCUGUCCGAAAACAACAGGACCCUCAUUCUAUUUGGUGUCACAAAGCGUACUGCAGGACCCUAUCAAUGUCAAAUGAAGAGCCCAGUGAGUUCCAGCCGCAGUGACCCAGUCACCCUGAAUCCCGUCUAUGGCUUGGAUGAUCCCCCCAUUUCUUUUUCGUACACCUGUUAGCACACAGGGGAAGUCCUCAAGCUCUCCUGCCUCACAGACUCUCACCCACUGGCAGAGCUUUCUUGCCUGAUUGAUGGCAAGUUCCAGCAAUCAGCACAAGUGUUCUUUAUCCCCAAAUCACUAAAACAUGUAGAGGGGUCUAUGUCUGUUUCAUACAUAACUCAGCCACUUUUGGAACAAAUCUCAUAAUCCAGAGGAUCAUAGUCCCUG